rnacentral:rRNA from 1 species
UACAGAGGGGGCAAGCGUUGCUCGGAAUCACUGGGCGUAAAGCGCACGUAGGCGGAUUUUUAAGUCAGGGGUGAAAUCCUGGAGCUCAACUCCAGAACUGCCUUUGAUACUGAAGAUCUUGAGUUCGGGAGAGGUGAGUGGAACUGCGAGUGUAGAGGUGAAAUUCGUAGAUAUUCGCAAGAACACCAGUGGCGAAGGCGGCUCACUGGCCCGAUACUGACGCUGAGGCACGAAAGCGUGGGGAGCAAACAGG